GACACUGGGCGACGAGGGCGCUGCUUGGAAUGACGGAAGCGAGCUCAGCUUCCUUAUAGAUCACUUUGGGUUCGACCAGCUCGGAAAAGGCUUGUUAUCAGAGGGAUCGAAACUUGAUGAAUCCAAAGAGCUCCUGAGUGCUGACCCCGUUCGCGCCAGCGGACGUGCAUGCGUGUCAGCAUGCAUUGGAAUCGGUCGACGUACCUCACACGGACGUACACGCUACGGUUUGCGUCUCUUUCCGUUGUCUGUAACACGAGAGUCUCUGGGAUAUUUUUGUGACUCCUUUAUUUGCCUAUCUUAUUGUCGACUUUCAAUGUGAAGAUCUCUUCUUUCCCUGAAGCUCCGUUGUCCAUCGGCGAAUGAUAUUGAUAGCAGUGUUCAAGUUGCGACUUGCUGCGUUCUGCAGUUGGCGACGCAUUAGCUGCACAGACCAAAGAUGCGAUCUAGGCUUCGCUUGCCAUGUUCACCUUCGUGGUAUACAGGCUCGGUGCGCACCCUUCGCACCGGUGACUCAUGACUGUGAUCAGAUGGUCUCGGACGACCACAAAAACUCGUGACGCUCCAGAGGCUGUAGGGCGGCGUGAGAACGCGUGCUUCAUCGCUCGGUCCGUGCCCUUGACGGUUGAAGAAGGCUCCACGCGAUAGUGUCCUCCUCUUCUGCGCACACUACCGCACUCUGUGAUCAGGGGUUUCUUCUGAGAGAUCCCUCUGGCGAGUACGCUGUCGCUGCAUGCGCAAGCGCGUGCAGUUUUCCGAACAAAACAGCACGGAUGGGACGCGAUGUUGUCGGUGAUGAUGCGCAUUCGGGAAGGGAAAUCCAGGUUGGAGAUGAUAUCGAGAUAUUUCGAAACGUUUACGCCCUGUUCGUGCAACGCGAUGACGCAGGUCCGGACCCGGGAUCCACUCUCAUGGGAACAGGCAAGAUGAGUGCAUCAGGGAGCACGGAUCCUCUGACUGGUAUCAUGCUACCAUGGAAAUCCGUUUUGUCGAUGGCCUUGCAGAGAGGCGGAUAUGCCCUCCGAAUGGCGCGACUCAAUUGACGAGAGACGUUCAAUGAACUUGAGGCGUGAACUUGUGAUCAGGUCUUCAAAGGACUACGUCGAGUUCUCUUCUUCGUCAAUCUCGCGGGACGCUUCGUUGCGUCUGGGUGUUGCCAUGAAGCAGAACGAUCGAAAAAUUGAAGUGUGCGUCACUUGCGCAUGCUGCAGGUAACGCUAUGGGAAGAGCGGAGCCUUGUACCUUUCAUUCGGAUGAGGGCGCCGGGUAUUUUACGGGAACCCUGUUGGAAGGCGUCAGGAAUCAUACGCCGAUUCGGGUGCCAUCACGAAUGCCAGCGGCACAGAACCAAAUGAUCCACUUCGAAAAGACGACUGAGCCCUCUAAAACACGUAUGAAUCCUUCAU